rnacentral:rRNA from 1 species
UUAAGUUAAUAAGGGCGCACGGUGGAUGCCUUGGCACUAGAAGCCGAUGAAGGACGUGACUAACGACGAAAUGCUUUGGGGAGCUGUAAGUGAGCAAUGAUCCAGAGAUGUCCGAAUGGGGGAACCCGGCAGGUAAUGCCUGUCACUCAUUACUGUUAAGGUAAUGUAGAGGAAGACGCAGUGAACUGAAACAUCUAAGUAGCUGCAGGAAGAGAAAGCAAAAGCGAUUGCCUUAGUAGCGGCGAGCGAAACGGCAAGAGGGCAAACCGAAGAGUUUACUCUUCGGGGUUGUAGGACUGCAACGUGGACUUAAAGAUUAUAGAAGAACUACCUGGGAAGGUAGGCCAAAGAGAGUAAUAGCCUCGUAUUCGAAAUAGUCUUUAUACCUAGCAGUAUCCUGAGUACGGCGAGACACGUGAAAUCUCGUCGGAAUCUGGGAGGACCAUCUCCCAACCCUAAAUACUCCCUAGUGACCGAUAGUGAACCAGUACCGUGAGGGAAAGGUGAAAAGCACCCCGGGAGGGGAGUGAAAUAGAACCUGAAACCGUGUGCCUACAACAAGUUCGAGCCCGUUAAUGGGUGAGAGCGUGCCUUUUGUAGAAUGAACCGGCGAGUUACGAUAUGAUGCGAGGUUAAGUUGAAGAGACGGAGCCGUAGGGAAACCGAGUCUUAAUAGGGCGCAUUAGUAUCAUGUCGUAGACCCGAAACCAUGUGACCUACCCAUGAGCAGGUUGAAGGUGAGGUAAAACUCACUGGAGGACCGAACCAGGGCACGUUGAAAAGUGCUUGGAUGACUUGUGGGUAGCGGAGAAAUUCCAAACGAACUUGGAGAUAGCUGGUUCUCUCCGAAAUAGCUUUAGGGCUAGCGUCGAUGUUAAGUCUCUUGGAGGUAGAGCACUGUUUGGGUGAGGGGUCCAUCCCGGAUUACCAAUCUCAGAUAAACUCCGAAUGCCAAUGAGAUAUAAUCGGCAGUCAGACUGCGAGUGCUAAGAUCCGUAGUCGAAAGGGAAACAGCCCAGACCACCAGCUAAGGUCCCAAAAUAUAUGUUAAGUGGAAAAGGAUGUGGGGUUGCACAGACAACUAGGAUGUUAGCUUAGAAGCAGCUAUUCAUUCAAAGAGUGCGUAAUAGCUCACUAGUCGAGUGACCCUGCGCCGAAAAUGUACCGGGGCUAAAACAAUUUACCGAAGCUGUGGAUACCUUUAAUGGUAUGGUAGGAGAGCGUUCUAUGUGUGAAGAAGGUGUACCGUGAGGAGUGCUGGAACGCAUAGAAGUGAGAAUGCCGGUAUGAGUAGCGAAAGACAGGUGAGAAUCCUGUCCACCGUAAGACUAAGGUUUCCAGGGGAAGGCUCGUCCGCCCUGGGUUAGUCGGGACCUAAGGAGAGACCGAAAGGUGUAUCCGAUGGACAACAGGUUGAUAUUCCUGUACUAGAGUAUAUAGUGAUGGAGGGACGCAGUAGGCUAACUAAACCAGACGAUUGGAAGUGUCUGGCCAAGCAGUGAGGUGUGAUAUGAGUCAAAUGCUUAUAUCUUUAACAUUGAGCUGUGAUGGGGAGCGAAGUUUAGUAGCGAAGUUAGUGAUGUCACACUGCCGAGAAAAGCUUCUAGCGUUAAUUAUACUCUACCCGUACCGCAAACCGACACAGGUAGUCGAGGCGAGUAGCCUCAGGUGAGCGAGAGAACUCUCGUUAAGGAACUCGGCAAAAUGACCCCGUAACUUCGGGAGAAGGGGUGCUGACUUUAUGUCAGCCGCAGUGAAUAGGCCCAAGCAACUGUUUAUCAAAAACACAGCUCUCUGCUAAAUCGUAAGAUGACGUAUAGGGGGUGACGCCUGCCCGGUGCUGGAAGGUUAAGAGGAGUGCUUAGCGUAAGCGAAGGCAUGAAUUGAAGCCCCAGUAAACGGCGGCCGUAACUAUAACGGUCCUAAGGUAGCGAAAUUCCUUGUCGGGUAAGUUCC